AAGAUUGUUCUUUUACCAAACAUAUGCGGAUCAAAUCACGUCUUAUAAUAAGAAGAAAUCUUUCUCGGUAUCAAUCCCCUUGCCCCUCAUUCUUUGAGAAUCAGAAGGAUCCUUUUCGAGAUUUCUUCAUUUUGAAUCUGGGCUCUUCUAUCUUCGACUUAUUUUUUUGGCUUUAUUCUUUAUUUAUUUCAUUUCGAUUUUUCCCUCUUCCUCUAUCCCUAUCCUCUAGGUACAGUGUUUGCAUCAAUAGAGAACUUUUUCCUCUGUAUGAAUCGAUAUUAUUCCAAUUUCUUCCCGAAACUUCCCAAGAAAAAUCCCGAAUUGGAUCCAAAAUUGACGGGUUAAUGUGAGCUUAUCCAUGCGGUUAGGCACUCUUCAAAUAGGAAUCCAUUUUCUAACUGGCUUUCGUGCUUUGGUGAGUCGUCCGAGAUCCUUUUGAUGACCUAUGUUGUCUUGAAGGGAUAUCUAUAUGAUCCGAUCGAUUGCAUAAGACCCGCAGUAGCAAUAGAACGGGGAAAGUAUACAGAAAAGACAGUUCUUUUCAAUUUCGAUUAUCUAUAUAUUAGUUCGUUUUUAUUUCUAGAUAUCUAUGUCUAUAUAUUAGUAUUAGUUAGUAGUACUAUUCUAUUAGGUAGCGAUCCCGGCUCUGUGAGUUCUUUCUUCCGUGAUGAACUGUCGGCACCAGUUCUACAUUUUUUCUCUGUGGACCGAGGAGAAAGGGGGCUCCGCAGGAAGAGGAUUGUACCAUGAGAGAAGCACAGAGGUCAACCCGCUUCAAAUAUGGAACAUGGAUUCUGGCAAUGCAACGGAGUUGGGUCCUCAUAUCGAUCCGAAUGAAUCAGUCUUUCUACAGAGGUCAAUCUUUGCCUAUUAGGCAAGAGGAUAGCAAGUUCGAAAUUCUGUCUCGGUAGGACAUGGAUUUCUAUUACUAUGAAAUUCAUAAAUGAAAAUGAAGUAGUUAAUGGGAGGGCUACCAUUAUCCUUUUCUUGUAUGUGUUCCUAAGAGAAGGAAUUUGUCCAUUUCAUGUUUCGAGGUCUCAAAAAAAGGGCGUGGAAACAGAUAGAAACUCUUGAAUGGAAAUUGAAAAGAAAUGUAGCCCCAGUUCCUUCGGAAAUGGUAAGAUCUUUGGCGUAAGAAGAAGGGGCGACCCAUAUCAUCUUGACUUGGUUUUGCUUCCCCUCUUUUUUUAAGAAUACCGAGUCGGGUUCUUCUCCUACCAGUAUCGAAUAGAACAUGCUGAACAAGAUCUUCUUCAUGGAAACCCGCUCGAUUUAGAUCGGGAAAAUCGUACAGAUUUUAGAAACCAUGUGCUAUGGCUCGAAUCCAUAGUCAAUCCUAUUUUCGAUAGGACCGGUUGACAAUUCUCUUAUUUAUUGUACUUGUUUAUUUGUAUGUACUUGUGUGUUACGAUAGACAGUGCGUAGUAUGAGGGUCCACAAGAGGAAGGUUGUGAAGACGUUCUGGAGCAGCAGCAGUUCUUUGAUGAAGGUAAGUGGUCCUUGAUCAUAUUUCGGUCCUAAUAUCAUUCUAAAUAUACAUAUUUGCUUUAUAUGCAUGCAUGUGUCUAGAAUAUGAUGGAUCCCAAUUUAAGGAUGUGCCUAGUUUCUUUUGAACUUCCUUGAUUAAACCUAGUUGUUAUAUUUAUGUUGUAGCUACGCUAGUUGCUUUUACUUAGACUUGGUUGGAUAACCUGAAAUCAUGCUACACUAGUUUUACUCAUGUUCUGAAAUAUUUUAUGGUGAUAAUUAAGAUCAUUGCAUUAUUUGAAACAUGGAGAACCAUCCAGGAAAAUGGUGCAACCACAAUACUACAUGGCUAUGGUCUUAGCUAAUUAAUUAGAAACUUUAGCUUGUAAUGGUCUUACCGAAAGGGCAAAAGGGGAGUGCGUUGAUGGGGUAUAACUCGGUCCUCUUGGAUGCUUUGGUUAUGGUCCUUGGCUAAGGUAUCGCCUCAUUAGGGAGAGUUAUGACCACUGCGGCCUGAAACCUUAGCGGACUGUUACAAGUUUGGGAAUCUUUGUAUAGGCCUCGUAGUGAAUCCCUGCCACUCGCCUCGGAAGUGUUUAAGGGCUUUGCAAACCCGAACAUUAAGGGAAAUACAAAUUGUGGGUAAAGUGUACAACCUCUACAGAGUGAAAAUUGAUAUAUCAGCCGUGCUCAUGGUUAAAAGCGGCUUGGACACUCACAUGAUAAUCAAACUUAAAGAUGAUCUAAAUUGAUGUUAUUUAUUCACGAUGUUGUACUUAUCUCUUUUAUUUAUUUAAGGGUUGGUAUAUACUUACACUUAGUUAAUGCUUGCUAAAUAAAACUUGAUCAACUAAAAAUGCUUAUCGCAGUCAAACCAUGUCAGAUUUUCCUUGAUUAUUGGCCUUGCAUGUCAUAUAAUUUACUCCACUAGCUGAGUACCAACCUUAAGUGUAUUCAUGCUUGCUUUAUUAAAACCAAUACUGCUCAGAACAUGAUAAUUGUCCGGAGUUCUCUGAAGAUUUUGAAGAGUACUAGGCGUAUGUCUCCCAGUCAUCUGCCUGUGAAGUUGAAGUCCGCUGUUAGAUUAUAAAUGUUUAUUAUUUCGCAUAAGAUUAAGACUUUCAGUCAUGUACUAUGGCACUCUCUUUCGUUAUGAUAUUGUUUCGGAUAUACACUUGUACUGUUUAUCAUAUGUGUGGAACUUGAUCCUGGCGCACGUAUGAGAUGCAUUCGGUUCCUUUCUAAAACUAGGUGUGACAGUGGUCGUGGUAAACCAGCUACGCUAGUGCUUGGAGUAGUCGGGAUUUCCGACGUGGGUGCCCUAGACGCGUAUCAGGGUUUACCCGCUCUGGGCGAUACACUUAGAUCGCGUGGCAGGCCUGGUAACCUCAUCGACUGUUCCAUGGUUACUGCAUGUUGUGGUUGUGGUAAAACAACUAUGCUAGUACUUGUGGUAGUCGGAAUUUUGGGCAUGGAAACCCGUCUGAUGCUAGGUAGCACUCGGAGUUACUGUCGAUGACCAUACUAGAUGCUGUUACUAGAAUUUCAGCUGCGCAAGUAAGUUUGCGACUUGGCCUUGCAGGCGAUGUCAGUCAUGCAGGUAGAACUUGGGAGUGCUGAUGAGGACAUCUCUCCUUUGCAUACAAUGCAAGGACCGAUCACUAGAGCACGUGCGCGACAGUUGGAUCUCUAGGUACGUUCUAACCUUGUCAAUUGUUUUUCAGAACUUACGCUUGAUUCCAUGCAUGUUUUAUUGAUUAGGAACAAUGGAGAGGACCAGCAAGGACUUGGAGAAGGCCAAGGAGUCAAGGAGGAGGAGCUAGGACGUCCACACCAAGGAGGAGUCCAUGUCCAACUCGACUUAGACUCCACCUCGGAUUCCAGAAACUGACUUCACCGAAAUUAAAACAUACGGAGUCGGAUCUGGACGUUCUACACAUGGUUGUAACUAGAAUUUCAUAGAGCUUCCAAUGGCACUGGUCCCACCUAAAAAUUCCUUCUGAGUCGAUGGGAAUUGUCGACACAAAUGGGCAUCCAGAAUCUGUCAGGGUGCUGUGUCACCGUCUGUUGGGCCGUUGGCCCAUGUACCGUGUAGGAACCCAUUAGGGUUGCGUUCAGGGGACUUGCACGCCCCUAACUCCUUUUUAUUCUAUAGCCAUUGCCAUAAUAGGAUUUGAGUUUUGCUUAGAUUCAAUCUGUCACAGAACAGUGUCAUCGUUCAUCGGUUUGUGAGACCCCAUCUCGUAAUCAAGUUGUUUGCUUGCAUCUCCUGUUCUUGCUUGUGUUCUUGAUUGCGCUUGUAGGGAUAAGCCUUCAUGGUGAGAUCAUUCAUGUGACAUGGGUGAUAACCAACGGAGCAGUGGUGUAGUGAUUGCGAGGUUCUGUUCGUUCGGAGCCUUGGAUCAUCAACGUCGAGUUCUCCACCAAUCAAGUUUAGCGUACCUCUCGGAAGAUCGGGAGUCAUCCUCCUAUCAAGUGGUAUCAGUUAUCAGGUUGCUUGUGAGGCAUACUCGUGUGCCUUUAGAUUUUUUUUGUUUCUGUCCUAUAGUCCACAAAAAAGCCACAAAAAUUUUUACUCUUUCCUACCUACAACCCUCGCUCAGCCUUUUGCACAAGUUAGUUUCGGAGUCCGUAGUUCUGAGUUCAUGUCCUAGGUUGAGUUUGAUUGCUGGUUUAGAUUUAUUUUAGUUCAGUUUUAUUUCUUCCAUUCGCUGCCAUCUCCACAAAAACAAAAAAAUAAUCUACAAAUAAUUUUCCAUCCACCACCGAUCCACCGAUUCGCAUCCGAUUCAGUUUCCACCGCCGCAAAACCUAAUUCGGAGAGUCCUCCUUAAAAUGGGCAUAACUUUUCGCUCGGAACUCCGAUUGAGGUGAACUUUUUUCCCGAAAAGCUCUCAAAAAGUUGCACAUACCCCGGGAAGGGUGUUCUCAAAAAAUUUAAAAAUAAAUCAGGAAGGCACUUGAUUCGGGCUCCGAAGUUCUAGCACCAGUUUUUCCAAACGCUUUUGAAUUUGUACCGAUCACAUCUUUCAUCAGUUUGAGCUGAUAUUUGGUGGCUAUUCAUUCCCUUGUGCCCCUGAUUGAGAAAAAAUAUCAAAAAAACAAAAGCAAAAAAACAAAAAUUAGAUUACUACUAGUGCUAAAAGACAAAAUAGGGGGAUAUUUGUUGUUUUUCUGUGUGAGCUGCUGGAUACUUGCUGAUACUGCCCUUCUUGUUCAUCAUCUUUCAUCCUUGUUCCUUGCUUGCUGCCACAUCUAUUCUAAUACAUUUUUAGGCCAGCAACUAGGUCACGUUCUUUGGACACUUAUUCAGCAUUGCUAUCUGUUACUAACUUGUGUGCCACAUACAUAUACUGCAUUUGAGCCUUCCCAAGCUCCACCUUCUCCCGAGCAGAACAGGUUACUUUGCAAUUACACCCACUCUCUUCGUAUUAUCAUACCGAUCAUCGUUUGCCACCACCAGUGCUGGUAAGACACUUGUAAGAGCGGGGUAAGACGCAUCUUACUACUUGUUUUCCACUUUCACUUCAGAGAGUGUAGUCGUAGGGUUCACAACCUUUUACCUUCAUUUUAUUUUUGUUCUUACCAUGAAAGGAAAGGUGCCGAUGGAUGAGACCUCUCCUUCUAUACUUCAGGAUGAUACUGAGUGCGUGUCUCAUAUGGAACUAAAAGACAUGAUGCGGGCGAUUAUUGACACUUUCAACAAGUACCAGACCACUACAACAGCCACCUUUCAGAGGAUUCAUACAAGUGUUGAUGGUCUUGCCGCACGGCUGGACGCGGUGGAGGCUCAUUUUCCCCACCAUACUCCAACCCCCAUCGUCCCUGCUGCCAGCGGCCAUGCUCACAACGACACAGAGGACGAGUUCAACGAUGACAAGGUUGAUGCACAACAGCACCGUCGCCUUCUACGUCAUCAUCAAGGUAUGGGAGGUAAUGGUAGGCAUCGUCCUCAUGUUCCUGAGCAAGAUAAUGAUCCUUAUGCUAAGAUUAAGUUUUCUAAUCCACCGUUUUAUGGAUCUUAUGAUGCUGAGACUUACUUGGCUUGGGAGAUGAUGGUAGAAUAGAAAUUUAGCUCCUAUCUUAUUCCUAAGCAUCAUAGAGUUAGGCAAGCCACUAGUGAGUUUAAAGAUUUCACUAUCAUUUGGUGGAAUGAACUUGUCAAUGCACGUAAUGCCCCACAGACAUGGACUGCGUUAAAAGAAGAGAUGCGCACUAGGUUUGUUCCUCCAUCAUAUAGACAUGAUCUUCGUAAGAAAUUACAACGCUUUGAUCAGGGUGACAUGUCUAUCCAAGAGUACUACCAAGAGUUGCAGAAGGGUAUGCUUCGUUGUGGGAUAGUUGAGGAUCAGAAAUACCAGAUUGUAAGGUUUUAUGGGGGCUUGCGGCAUAAGAUUCAGGACAUAGUUGAUUAUAAGGAAUAUCAUUCUAUACAAUGUUUGUUUCAACUUGCUAUGUUGGCAGAAAAGAACUGCAGGACCACCAACAGCAGCGGCGGAACAACACCUUCACGCCAUGGCAGUAAGUCACAGACUCCUCCUGGUGUUGCAGCAAAGGCUAACACUUCCACUGGUCACACAUCCGACAUCAAGUGCCACCGCUGCCAGGGAUUUGGCCAUAUGCAGCGAGAUUGCCCUAGCAAAUGGACCAUCAUUGCUACUGCUGACGGUGGGUUGCUAGUGCUUCUGAUAUUGAAGAUGAAAAUAUUAUUGCAGCCAACAUUUCAGGUUCCGAUGACAGUGCUGAGGAGGUUCUUGGUACAUCUGUGACCAACAACUACAGAACCUUAAUUGUGCACCAAGCUUUGAGCACCACGGUGGGAGAGGACGACAAACGCCAAUGUCACAACCUUUUCAACAUGUUUCUUGUCAUCAAGGACUGCCGUGUGCAUACAAUCAUUGAUGAAGGUAGCUAUAACAAUUUGGUGAACGUUGAGGUGGUCAAGAAGCUUGGCUUGACCACGCGGGAGCAUCCACAUCUUUAUCACAUUAAAUGGUUUAACAACAAUGAUAAGGUAAAGGUAACAAAAACAGCAAGGAUACAUUUUUCAAUUGGGUCUUACGAUGACUUUGCUGAUUUUGAUGUGGUGCCUAUGGAUGCUUGCUCUCUUUUAUUGGGACGUCCUUGGGAGUUUGAUACUGAUGCUAUUCACUAUGGUAGAUCUAAUAAGUAUACUCUCAUGCAUAAGGGUAAGAAAAUUGUGUUGCUGCCAAUGACUCUCACUAAAAUUGUGCAAUUUGAGAAUGAGAAAAAGAAUAAUGCUAAACAAAAGGGUAUUUUCAAUUCUAAAAGUUGGCAACCUAUCAAGUUAAAAAAUCCUAUUUUGUUUACAACUACAUCUGACCUUGAUGAGUUAUCUGCCUCCAUUGGACCUUGCUAUGCUUUAGUGUGCAAACAUGCUUUAUAUUGCAUUGAGGUCACGUCCAUUGCUUUGCCACCUGCUGUUGCUAACCUUUUGCAGGUGUAUAUGGAUGUCUUUCCAUUGGAGCUACCCCCUGGAUUACCACAUGUGCGAGGCAUUGAGCACAAGAUUGACUUGAUUCCUAGGGCGAGCUUGCCAAACCGUGCCGCCUGCAGGACCAACCCCAAUGAGACUAAGGAAAUUCAGCGACAAGUCCAAGACCUUCUGGACCGCGGGUACAUUCGUGAGAGCCUUAGUCCUUGUUCUGUUCCUGUUCUUUCGGUUCCUAAGAAAGAUGGCACUUGGCGCAUGUGUGUUGAUUGUCGAGCCAUCAAUAACAUUACCAUUCGAUAUCGCUAUCGUAUUCCUCGUUUGGAUGACAUGCUUGAUGAGUUGAGUGGUUCUAUUAUUUUCUCCAAGAUUGAUUUACGUAGUGGAUAUCAUCAGAUUCAUAUGACUUUAUGGGAUGAAUGGAAAACUGCCUUUAAAACCAAGUUUGCUCUUUAUGAAUGGUUAGUCAUGCCUUUUGGUUUAACUAAUGCACCCAUCACUUUCAUUAGAUUGAUGAAUGAGGUUUUAUGUGCUUUCAUUGGUAAAUUUGUGAUAGUUUAUUUUGAUGAUAUCCUUAUUUACAGCAAGUCAUAUGAUGCACAUCUUGAAUAUUUGCAUGCUAUUUUUAAUGUCUUGCGCGAUGCACGUUUAUUUGGUAACCUUGAGAAGUGCACCUUUUGCACCGAUCGUGUGUCUUUUCUUGGUUAUGUUGUUAUAUUGCAGGCAUUGAGGUGGAUGAGACAAAGAUUGUUGCCAUCACAAGCUGGCCACUUCCGACUAUGGUCACGCAGGUUUGAAGUUUUCUUGAUCUUGCAGGUUUUUACCGAUGUUUCGUGCGGGAUUUUAGCACCAUUGCAGCACCUCUCCAUGGGUUGACAAAGAAUGGAGUGCCGUUUCAAUGGGGACCAGCACAACAACAAGCUUUUGAUGCUCUCAAAUCGAAGCUCACACAAGCACCAUUGCUGCAACUUCCUGAUUUUGAAAAGACCUUCGAACUUGAGUGAUAUGCAAGCGGGAUUGGCAUUGGAGGAGUGCUCAUACAAGGAGGUAAACCUAUUGCAUUCUUUAGUGAAAAAUUGCAUGGUCCUUCAUUGAAUUAUUCUACAUGUGACAAAGAACUUUAUGCUUUAGUGCGAGUCUUACAAACUUGGCAACAUUACCUAUGGUCUAAAGAAUUUGUCAUACAUUCGGAUCAUGAAUCUUUGAAGUACCUUAAAGGGAAAGCUAAUCUGAACAAAUGUCAUGCUAAAUGGAUUGAGUUCAUAGAGUCAUUUCCUUACAUCAUUAAACAUAAGAAAGGGAAAGACAAUGUGAUUGCCGAUGCUUUAUCUAGACGUUAUACCAUGCUGUCCCAACUUUCUCAUAAAAUCUUUGGUUUAGAGACCAUAAAGGGAUUAUAUGCUACUGAUUUGGACUUCAAAGAUGCUUUUGAAAAUUAUAGAGAGGGAAGAUCGUGGAAAAAAUUUCUGUUGGUGAAGGUCUUCUCUAUCGUGCUAACAAGCUGUGUGUUCCAGCUAGCUCCGUUCGUCUUUUGCUGUUGCAGGAAGCGCAUGGCGGUGGUUCGAUAGGAAAUUUUGAUGUUAAAAAGACGGAGGACGUGCUGGCCGCUCACUUCUUUUGGCCACGGAUGCAGCGUGAUGUGGAGCGCUACGUCUCACGUUGCACCACAUGCAACAAAGUUAAGUUUCGACUUAAUCCGCAUGGUCUUUAUAUGCCUCUUCUUGUUUCUCAUGUACCUUGGGAGGAUAUUUCUACGGACUUUAUUUUAGGAUUUUCUAGAACAAAGAGGGGGAGGGAUAGUGUCUUUGUGGUUGUUGACUGUUUCUCUAAAAUGGCAUAUUUUAUACUCUGUUACAAGACCGACAAUACUUCACAUGUUGCUGAUUUGUCAUUUAUCUUCUUUAAUGAUUUGUUUCUGAUAGGGAUGCUAAGUUUUUGAGCCAUUUUUGGAGAACUUUAUGGUAUAAAUUGGGAACAAAGUUGCUGUUUUCUACUACUUGUCAUCCACAAACUGAUGGGCAAAUGGAGGUAGUUAAUCGUACCUUGUCUACUAUGUUGCGGGCUGUUUUGAAAGAUAAUUUGAGGUUGUGGGAGGAGUGUUUGCCACAUAUUGAGUUUGCUUAUUGCAGAUCUAUUCACUCCACAACCAAGUUAAGUCUGUUUAUGGUAGUAUAUGGUUUCAAUCCUUGUGCUCCAAUUGAUUUGCUACCUUUAUCACCUUUUGAACUUGUGAACUUAGAUGCUACACAACGUUCUGAAUUUAUUCUUAAGUUGCAUGAAAUUACUAAGUUGCAAAUUGAAAAAUGAAUGAAAGGUAUCGAAUUGCUGCUAGUAAAGGUAGGAAGGAGGUAAAAUUGGAACCCGGUGAUUUGGUGUGGGUUCAUUUGAGAAAAGAUAGGUUUUCGAAUUUGAGAAAGUCCAAACUCAUGCCACGUGUUGCUGGACCUUUUAAGGUUCUUGAGAAGAUAAAUGACAAUGUAUAUAAACUUGAGUUGCCUCCCGAGUUUGGGGUUAGUCCCACAUUUAACAUUUCAGAUUUGAAUAUAUACUUGGGUGAGGAAGAUGAGCUUGAGUCGAGGAUGACUCCAAUUCAAGAGGGGGAGGAUGAUGAGGACAUCUCUCCUUUACAUACAAUGCAAGGACCGAUCACUAGAGCACGUGCGCGACAGUUGGAUCUCCAGGUACGUUCUAACCUUAUCAAUUAUUUUCCAGAACUUAUCCUUGGUUCCAUGCAUAUUUUAUUGAUUAGGAACAAUGGAGAGAACCAGUAAGGACUUGGAGAUGGCCAAGGAGUCAAGGAGGAGGAGCUAGGACGUCCACACCAAGGAGGAGUCCAUGUCCAACUUGACUUCGACUCCACCUCAGAUUCCAAAAACUGACUUCACCAAAAUUGAUGCCCUGGCCACAUACGGAGUUGAAUUUGGACAUUCUAGAUAUGGAUGGAACCAGAAUUUCAUAGAGAUUCCAAUGGCACCAGUCCCACCUCAAAAUUCCUUCUGAGUCGAUGGGAAUCGUCGACACAAGUGGGCAUCCAGAAACUGUUAGGGUGCUGUGUCACCGUCUGUUGGGCCGUUGGCCCGU
rnacentral:lncRNA from 1 species